GGGUUAGCCCAAAAAAUAUUGGGACAUAUAAAAAAAGACAGCUCUGUUCCGCAGAGUAGCUGUUGACAUUAUAGUUGCGCAGGAACUUUGUUGACUCUAGAGAACCUCGGGCAAAUCACACAUCCCGCGGCGGCAACUUUGCAUGCGGAUGUCAUCCAUAUCAACUUUUGAUGCCAGUUUCUGCGCCUAUCAUGGUGACCACGGGUAACAGAGAAUCAGGUUUCCAUUCCAUAAAGGGACCCUGAGAAACGGCUACCACAUGCAAGGAAGGAAGCAGGCUCGCAAAUGACCCACUCCUGACGCGGGAAGGUAG